rnacentral:rRNA from 1 species
AGAGGAAGGAGUUUGGAGGACAAUGAACGCCCUUCGGGGUCUCUGUGAAGGUGCUGCAUGGUUGUCGUCAGCUCGUGCCGUGAGGUGUCGGCUUAAGUGCCAUAACGAGCGCAACCCCUCUCCUUAGUUGCCAUCAGUUGAAGCUGGGCACUCUGGGGACACUGCCACCGUAAGGUGUGA